GAUGAACGCUGGCGGCGUGCCUAAUACAUGCAAGUAGAACGCUGAAGCUUGGUGCUUGCACCGAGCGGAUGAGUUGCGAACGGGUGAGUAACGCGUAGGUAACCUGCCUCUUAGCGGGGGAUAACUAUUGGAAACGAUAGCUAAUACCGCAUAAAAGACGAUAUCGCAUGAUAUUGAUUUGAAAGAUGCAAUUGCAUCACUAAGAGAUGGACCUGCGUUGUAUUAGCUAGUUGGUGAGGUAACGGCUCACCAAGGCGACGAUACAUAGCCGACCUGAGAGGGUGAUCGGCCACACUGGGACUGAGACACGGCCCAGACUCCUACGGGAGGCAGCAGUAGGGAAUCUUCGGCAAUGGGGGCAACCCUGACCGAGCAACGCCGCGUGAGUGAAGAAGGUUUUCGGAUCGUAAAGCUCUGUUGUAAGAGAAGAACGAGUGUGAGAGUGGAAAGUUCACACUGUGACGGUAACUUACCAGAAAGGACGGC
rnacentral:rRNA from 1 species